CCUACGGGGGGCAGCAGUGGGGAAUAUUGGGCAAUGGGCGCAAGCCUGACCCAGCAACGCCGCGUGAAGGAAGAAGGCUUUCGGGUUGUAAACUUCUUUUCUCAGGGACGAAGCAAGUGACGGUACCUGAGGAAUAAGCCACGGCUAACUACGUGCCAGCAGCCGCGGUAAUACGUAGGUGGCAAGCGUUAUCCGGAUUUACUGGGGGUAAAGGGCGUGUAGGCGGGAAAGCAAGUCAGAUGUGAAAACCAUGGGCUCAACCUGUGGCCUGCAUUUGAAACUGUUUUUCUUGAGUACUGGGGAGGCAGACGGAAUUCCUAGUGUAGCGGUGAAGUGCGUAGAUAUUAGGAGGAACACCAGUGGCGAAGGCGGUCUGCUGGACAGCAACUGACGCUGAGGCGCGAAAGCGUGGGGAGCAAACAGGAUUAGAUACCCUAGUAGUC
rnacentral:rRNA from 1 species